rnacentral:rRNA from 1 species
CGUAGGCAGCGAGUCGUUGUUCGGAAUUACUGGGCGUAAAGAGUGUGUAGGCGGUGCUCUAAGUUCGGUGUGAAAUCUCCUGGCUUAACUGGGAGGGUGCGCCGGAAACUGGAGUGCUCGAACGUGGGAGAGGAAAGCGGAAUUCCUGGUGUAGCGGUGAAAUGCGUAGAUAUCAGGAGGAACACCUGCGGUGUAGACGGCUUUCUGGACCAUUGUUGACGCUGAGACACGAAAGCGUGGGUAGCAAACAGGAUUAGAUACCCUGGUAGUCCACGCCCUAAACGAUGCAUACUUGGUGUCGGCCAUUCAGUUGGUCGGUGCCGGAGCUAACGCGUUAAGUAUGCCGCCUGGGGAGUACGGUCGCAAGGCUG